rnacentral:rRNA from 1 species
GAUGAACGCUGGCGGCGUGCUUAACACAUGCAAGUCGAGCGAGAAGUUUUGAAAAGAUUCUUCGGAUGAAAUUUAAAAUGGAAAGCGGCGGACGGGUGAGUAACGCGUAGGCAACCUGCCCCAUACAAAGGGAUAGCAUUUGGAAACGAAUAUUAAUACCUUAUGAAACUUAACUAGUGCAUGCUAGGUAGGUCAAAGAUUUAUCGGUAUGGGAUGGGCCUGCUUCUGAUUAGCUAGUUGGUGAGGUAACGGCUCACCAAGGCGACGAUCAGUAGCCGACCUGAGAGGGUGAACGGCCACAUUGGAACUGAGACACGGUCCAAACUCCUACGGGAGGCAGCAGUGGAGAAUAUUGCAAAAUGGGGGAAACCCUGAUGCAGCAACGCCGCGUGAACGAUGAAGGCCUUUGGGUCGUAAAGUUCUGUUCUAGGUGAUGAAAACUGACAGUAACCUAGGAGAAAGCCCCGGCUAACUCCGUG